rnacentral:lncRNA from 1 species
AUAUUCACCUCUCAAAGCAGCUGUGAUCCAGGCUUUUGCAGUUUGUGAUGUUUUCUUGUUUUAUUUUUAUUUUUCUGAUAAUAAUGAGUUUAAAUUUCUCUUCUGAAGGCUUGUCAGCAGUCCUUUGUAUCUCCUCUCCAGUAAAUUGCCUGUUCAUACACUUGGCACCCUUUUUUUUCUAUUGGGCUUCUCUGUUUUACGCUGUUGAUUUACAGAAGUUCUUUGUACAUUCUAAAUUUGUGUCCUUCUUUGUUUUGGAUAUAGCACAUAUCUUGUCCCAAUCUGUCACCACUCUGUGGCAUGGCCCUGUAGGUCAGUGGUUCAGAACUUGGCUCUAAAGACC